rnacentral:rRNA from 1 species
GAUGAACGCUAGCGGCAGGCUUAAUACAUGCAAGUCGAGGGGCAGCAUGAAUGUAGCAAUACAUUUGAUGGCGACCGGCAAACGGGUGCGGAACACGUACGCAACCUUCCUAUAAGUGGGGAAUAGCCCAGAGAAAUUUGGAUUAAUACCCCGUAACAUAAUGAUGUGGCAUCACAUUAUUAUUAUAGCUACGGCGCUUAUUGAUGGGUGUGCGGCUGAUUAGAUAGUUGGCGGGGUAACGGCCCACCAAGUCUACGAUCAGUAGCUGAUGUGAGAGCAUGAUCGGCCACACGGGCACUGGGACACGGGCCCGACUCCUACGGGAGGCAGCAGUAAGGAAUAUUGGUCAAUGGACGCAAGUCUGAACCAGCCAUGCCGCGUGAAGGAUCAAGGUCCUCUGGAUUGUAAACUUCUUUUAUCUGGGACGAAAAAAGGCGAUUCUUCGUCACUUGACGGUACCAGAUGAAUAAGCACCGGCUAACUCCGUGCCAGCCGCCGCAGUAAGAC